rnacentral:rRNA from 1 species
GAGGGGUGCUAGCGUUAUUCGGAAUCAUUGGGCGUAAAGGGUGUGUAGACGGCGCAUUAAGUCAACUGUUAGAUUCUCCGGCCUAACUGGAGGUCAGCGGUAGAAACUGGUGUGCUAGAGGGUGAGAGAGAGAAGUGGAAUUCUCGGAGUAGCGGUAAAAUGCGUAGAUCUCGAGAGGAACACCGAUGGCGAAGGCAGCUUCUUGGCUCAUUCCUGACGUUGAGACACGAAAGCGUGGGGGGAGCAAACAGGAUUAGAUACCCUGGUAGUCCACGCUGUAAACGAUGAUCACUAGACGUCAGCUCUGUUUUGCAGGGUUGGUGUCGUAGCUAACGCGUUAAGUGAUCCGCCUGGGGACUACGAUCGCAAGAUUA